rnacentral:lncRNA from 1 species
CACCCCUCAGGGAAGCAGGCUGGCGGCAGCUUCUCUCAGCCCUCAUUUUUACCUCCAUAGAGCAAUCAUUGUAUACAAUGUAAAAUAACAUACAUUUUAUGGAAUGAUCUUUCUGCCAGGAAGCUCCUAAGGAUAGCAAGAGGGGCCGGGGCUUUCCUCUGCAGUGCAGUGCACAGCCUUGGACCCUGCGUGUAAGGCAGAUAGCAAAAGUUGAUUGAAUGGCUGAGAGAGAACACACAACGGCCUCACUGCAGGCCUCAUCAGGGUCUUAGGCUCUAGUCCUAGCUCCACCACUAAUUAUCUCUAUACCUUUAUUCUAGGUCUCUGUUACCUUAGCUGUAAAUUGAGAAGAUUGGCUUAGAUCGUCUCCAAGGCGUCUUGGCGAGCUAAUACCCUGUGAAGACCAGGUAAGAGCGGAAUGGUAACUGGAGCCCUUCGCUGCCGCCCAUGUCAUUCCGCAGGGGGCCACUAGGUGGCAGGUGGGAAGGAAGCGGGCAGGGUGAGAGCUGCUUUUGCUUUCAGAAAGCGAUGGGAGUUCCUGGAUUCUUACUCCUGCAGAUCUCUCAGUCAGGACAGUUUUUUUCUCCAGGUUCUGCAAUUGCAGAACGCUCAGAUGAAGCACGGGGGUCCUGGUCCCCCGGUAGGCCACAGCCCACAAAUGCAAAACCACCCAGCAGCAGAAGGCGAAAGAGGCCGCUUCGAAGAGAAAAGGCAAGGUUGUCUCUGGUGUUUGAUCCACCCCCUCCUCUUUCUGUGACCAGGCAGAAUCAACCACGAUGAGAUUUUUCUACAACUCUUCCUAAAAUGCCAGUACAGUUUUCUUAACUGAGCAAACGUCAAUACAGCCCUGCCCUACGCAGAGGACAGCUCUGGCCUUAGACCCUGGACAUACGCAGAGGACAGCUCUGGCCUUGGACCCUGGACGACCCCACGAAGGGCAUUAAGGAGACACCCUGUCUUCACUCCACCCGAUCCCUGCCGCUGUGGGGGCCUGGGCAGCAGGAGCCCACAUUUUACCUUCCCCAACCCCGCCCCUGCAGUGUAGGGCCAGCCCUGGGCUGUGGCUCACGAGGAACCAUGAGUGAUGAAUAAAAAGAUUCCUCCCCAUCA